rnacentral:rRNA from 1 species
AGUGGCGGACGGGUGAGUAACGCGUGGGUAACCAGCCUUAUACAGGGGGAUAACAGUUGGAAACGACUGCUAAUACCGCAUAAGCGCACAGUGCCGCAUGGCACAGUGUGAAAAACUCCGGUGGUAUAAGAUGGACCCGCGUCUGAUUAGCUAGUUGGUGAGGUAACGGCUCACCAAGGCGACGAUCAGUAGCCGGCUUGAGAGAGUGAUCGGCCACAUUGGGACUGAGACACGGCCCAAACUCCUACGGGAGGCAGCAGUGGGGAAUAUUGCACAAUGGGGGAAAUCCUGAUGCAGCAACGCCGCGUGAGUGAAGAAGUAUUUCGGUAUGUAAAGCUCUAUCAGCAGGGAAGAUAAUGACGGUACCUGACUAAGAAGCCCCGGCUAACUACGUGCCAGCAGCCGCGGUAAUACGUAGGGGGCAAGCGUUAUCCGGAUUUACUGGGUGUAAAGGGAGCGUAGGCGGCUUGGCAAGUCUGAUGUGAAAGCCCAGGGCUCAACCCUGGGACUGCAUUGGAAACCGUCAGGCUAGAGUGCAGGAGAGGUAAGUGGAAUUCCUAGUGUAGCGGUGAAAUGCGUAGAUAUUAGGAGGAACACCAGUAGCGAAGGCGGCUUUCUGGACUGUAACUGACACUGAGGCACGAAAGCGUGGGGAGCAAACAGGAUUAGAUACCCUGGUAGUCCACGCCGUAAACGAUGAGUACUAGGUGU